GUUAGGAUUUCUAGGAGUUGAAGGCCAAAAUCAUCUGGGAACCCCGGGUUGAGAACCACUGUUCUAACACAACCAGUUCCUUCUUUGGAGACCUUUAAGCAGAGGCUGGAUGGCUAUUUGUCAGGGGUGCUACAAAUGCAAUUUUCCUGCUUCUUGGCAGGGGGUUAGACUGGAUGGCCCAUGAGGUCUCUUCAAAUUCUAUGAUCCUAGGACCAGAACCUCCUUUGAAAUCUGCCUUUCCUCCAUGACAUCACAAGGACCGACUCCCUAGUUUCCAGGGAAUGGGAUGAUGCUGACGUAGCAACAUGUGAGUGUAAUGGAUCUUGUCUACCUUACAAGGUUGAUAUGUGGCCUACUUCACAGGACUGGAGUGCAGCCAUUUUGUGAGCAGGGCUGAGGGUGCGGCCAUUUUGUAGGCCUUACUUGCAACAGAUCAGCAGAGCAAGGGGGAGGAGCAGUCAAGCAUCCAUUACCAUAUGUGCGAUCUGAUUAGCUAAAUGCAAAUGAGAAGUUAUUUAGCAACUGGAGAUGGGUGGAGACAAAGUGACAAUUGGAAGCCAGAGCAUUCUUUUUCAGUUAAGGCUUUGGAAUCCUUUCAGUGAGCAGUUGCUUUUUCAAAGUCAGUCAGUUAGGAGUUGGCCUUUGGAAUUCAGUCAGUUGGGAACUGUGUUUUAAAAAGAAAGCCUCUUUGAGGAAAUAUAGUUAGAGCCUUUAAGAAGGGAAAGGCUAAGAACUAUAUUGUGAAGUCUAGAGAGUCUAGGAGAAAUGGAGUUAAAAGUAAAUUGUCCUGCUUGUGUUUCCUUAGUAUGUACACAGUAAUCAAGUUAUAUGAACAUCCUUUGAAGUAAACCAUAUGACUUUAAUGAAACUACUAAGCAUCUGUACUGUUCAAUGUUUAUGAAACCAUCACACAGAUUUACUGUUCAAACUACAAAUAAACAACCAUUUAUUGGUUCUUCUCAUACAACGUUUCACAUGUCUCUCUCUCUCUGUCAAAAAUCCUAAUAUAGAAGAGGGUCCUGAAUUGGUGGCAGCAUUCAAUAAAAGUAGUGAGUUCAAAUCCUCUACAUAUUUGGUGACAGCAGAAAUAGAAACCUCUGCAAUUCUGGCAAACUUGAAAAAUCCUCCCUAUUGCAUAUUGUUUUAAAAAAUCUUAUCCAUAUUGAGCAUGGGUGAAUGAAUGUGUCGAUCGAUCAGUAGGUAUCUUAUUCCAAAUUACAUACACUGGAUGUCGAACACAAAUACUCUACCUUUGAGUUUGUCCUAUAUUAAUUAAAAUGGAGAUGAGCUGCGAGAAGGGCUAGGUCGUUUUUUAUAUGCAGUGCAAGGACAGGAAGGAAGGAAGGAAGGAAGGAAGGAAGGAAGGAAGGAAGGAAGGAAGGAAGGAAGGAAGGAAGGAAGGAAGGAAGGAUGUGUUUAAGAGGUUUUUAACUUAAUGGCAACCCUAUCACAGGGUUUUCUUGGCAGAAUUUGUUCAGGAGCUUCCUUUGCCUUACUCUGGGACUGAGAGUGUGAGUAUUGCACAGGGAUUUGAACCAUGUUCUAGUCCAGCAUUCAAAUUACUAGACUAUGGUGACUCUUUCUCAGUCACUCAUAGAAUCAUAGCAUAAUAGACUUAGAAGAGAUCACAUGGGCCAUCUAGUCUAAUCCCUGCCAAGCAGGAAAAGCACAAUCAAAGUACCCCUGACAGGUGGCCAUCUAGCCUCUGUUUAAAAGCCUCCAAGGAAGGAACUUCCACCACACUCCGAGGCAGAGAGGUUCACUGUUGAACAGCUCUCGCAGUCAGGAAGUUCUUCCUAAUCUUCAGGUGAAAUCUCAUUUCCUAUAAUUUGAACCUAUUGCGCUCACUCGCUCUCCCUCCCUCCCUCUCUCUCUCUCUCUCUCUCUCUCACACACACACACACACACACACACAUACACAUGAGGAUGGUGUAAUACUGUGUGUGUGUGUGUGUAUAUAUAUAUGGAGAAGAGUGAGAGAGCACUUUAUGCAUCCUUAGAGGAAGGCAGUGGCAAGCCUUCUCUGAAUAAAUCUUGCAAAAAAAAAAACCCUUUAUGAUAUGGUAAGCAUAAAUCUUCUAUAGGGUAUGUAAUAUAUAUUAUGCAAUAGACUUCUUAAUAAUUAGUCAUGCAUUUAAGGAAGAUCAGGGAUAAAAUACUCAAGACAUUUUGUCAUUUGAACUACUGAGAACUUUUCUCUGUACAUAUAUACCCAUGCUGUGUUAAUUAUAAUAUUUUCCUGUUAUGUUUUUACAAUUUAAACAGUAUGUAGUCCAUAAUUAGUUUCUAAAGUUUCUCUUCUAGAAAACUAACUAUGGAGAAGCAAGUUGUGUUUAAUAUAAGGCUAUGAAAGAAUAACAGGAUAUAAAAUUUGUGUUUCUUAUUAAUAUUUUCUCUAUUUAAAAACUAUAGAAGCAACCCCAGAGCUCAGUUUCUCUACAGUCAAUGCUAUGUGCAAAAGAAGAAGAACUGAAGUAUCUUCGGUUUCUACAGGAAGUCACAGAUGACAUUUUGAUGAGAAGCUGUUAUGGCAAAAAUGUGUUAGGUGAUGUAUUUCAAAUGCACUAUAGAGACAGAAGGUGUGAUCUUGAUGAGGUAAAAAUGCAAAGAAUCUUUCAAGCCCUGAAGCGUGACUUGAACAUCUGCACUCAUUUGCCAGAUUCUUCUGUCAGGUACUCUGGCUUGGAGCCCAAGAAUAGCAGGCUCAAUGCGCCUUAUGUGUAGUCACCAAUUUUCAAGUUGUAAAGGUUCUCUGAAGCAGUAGCAGCAGCAGACAAGUGCAACAGACUUUGUUACAAGUGAAGAGGGUUUACUAUGCAGAGCAUAAUGUAGUACUAAACCUUAGUUCAGCUUAGCUAUUUGCAGAAGCUACCUGUUAAAUUCCAGAUUUUUCAAUGCAGACAUAUUUUCAAGCUUAUGCAUUAAUAGCAAACACUGUGCACUGAUUCUUGCAUUGUGAAAAGAUCAUCACCUAUUCUCAAGGAGGACACUUCAGCAAGACCUGGUGGAAUCUUGACCCCAUUCUGUUCCUGUUUAGUCACAUGUGUGCUGGUUUUCAUCUGUGAAAUGCAAUAAGGGGAUUGCAAUGUUGAUACUUGAAGACCUACUAAUUUUGAGGAUUAAGGAGUAUUUGUUUCAAAGAAAGAAAAGCAAAAUGUCUACCAAGAAACUAAGGUACAUAGCAUAAGGUUUGGCAGCAAUGUCUGUAUGGUUUGCCCCGUAAUCUCAGCAGAGGUGAGCAACUUCUGAGCAAUGAGGGAUUGUUGUACUGAAAUCUUCCUAAGUACUGUUGGAUGUCCCUCUGCCACCAGAAUUUGGCAGCCACUGAGAUUUCCACUGCUUUUGUGGUUACCAUCAAAUUUUGUUAAGGUGGUUCUUCCGUAUCAUAAAAUCCUAUGGAUUGAUAGGGCAAACCUCUUUCUUCUGGAAAAGAAAGGAAAGGGGGAACUGUUUAUUAUUGCAAUGGUGGCAGUUUUCAGCAGAUGGAAAUAGACAAUGUAACUUUCAACUGGUGGAAUGGAGGAACACUGGGAAACAAGAAAAUGGAAAAUCAACAGGAAGGGUGGAAUUGAGUUUCCUGUUAAAAGGGCAUGACUGUCAUUUUGACCCAAUCCUAUGUUGCACAUAAGAAGAUAUCAGUCCGGUCAAAUGCAAUAGACACACAAACAAGAGGAAAAGGAACAAAAAUCUUUACUCUUGUCAGCUGAGAUACAAAAACAAAUAGCUCAGCAAACUUACAUAGUCCUUGUAAGUUGCACAGAGUGAGGCUUCUACAUGCAAAAGAUUAGAACAUAAAACAAAUAGCUAUUCCAUCAUAGCAAAGAGCAUAGCUGUUAAGUCAUUAUUAACUCAGCAUCUCCAAACUGUAUUCUAACAUCCAUACAGUUAUAUCCCACCAGGUGUGGUCCAAGCUUGCAUGCUGACCUACAUCAGCAGCUGCUCAUAAUAAUUAACACCAUAAGGUUUUCUUUAACACACACAGAUAUACCUGAUCCUGUUACUACUUACUGUAACAUCCUAUUGGUCAAAGUAAGAUGGUUACUUGCAAAUCGAGGAACUAAAACUCUCUGUGCUGUCUCAUCCUUGAAUAUAAUGUUUCCAUUCUGAGAGAAGAUACCUUUUUUCUGGGUCAACCAAAUGAACUAAUAUGUACAUUAAUCAAAGGUCUGGAAUUACUGAACACACAAGAAGCAGCUGAAAAUGAACUCAAUGUAUUCUAAAUUAACAGAAGUGUUGAAAAUUCCAAAAUGUAAAUGUAGCUAAAUUUAAUUAAAACUUAUGUUCAAGGCAAUGAAA